rnacentral:rRNA from 1 species
CACGUAGGGGGCUAGCGUUGUCCGGAAUCAUUGGGCGUAAAGCGCGUGUAGGCGGUCCGGUAAGUCCGCUGUGAAAGUCGGGGGCUCAACCCUCGGAUGCCGGUGGAUACUGUCGGGCUUGAGUACGGAAGAGGCGAGUGGAAUUCCUGGUGUAGCGGUGAAAUGCGCAGAUAUCAGGAAGAACACCCGUGGCGAAGGCGGCUCUCUGGGACGGUACUGACGCUGAGACGCGAAAGCGUGGGGAGCGAACAGG